AGUGCACACUUACUGCCACUUUGCCGAGCAGAUGACCCCACUGCCAUUGCCAAACAGAGAGUAUGCUCUCACGCCCGCUAUCUACAGCUAAAAUAUAACUUCCGCCAUUCUAUGGAAAUGUGAAUGAGAGUCAAAUGUUUCUGUGAAAAGGCCACUGCGGUCACGCCACUAUCCAACUCGCCCAUGCCAAAGACAUAAAGUGUCUGCAGUGACUCGGUGCUCCAAAUGCGUACGUGUGCUUGUGAUUUACGAUCACGUCCCGCCUUUUGACCCGAAGCGACAAGUUCGCGCGAUGGAUGCACAUCCAUGCUGUGGUGGCGAAGGGAAGUGAAAGGGUGUUGCAAUAUUGUCGCUGUGCGUCUUCUUCACGAUCCAAUAAUACUGCUACAGCAGCUACAUAAUACAAAAGCUCACCCGAUGGCAAAACCCAGAGAUUACGACGUGCAUCAAUACCACGAUAGCCGUGACUGCGCAUUCCAAAACAAAAAAAAAAAA